ACGGAGGAAAAGAACUACAAGGAUUCCCCUAGUAAGGGCGCUGAACGGGAAGUGCUCAGGAUGUGAAUCUGCGCUAUGCGCCGAAUUGUGGUCUGUAGACAGCGACGUUAUUUGCCGGGCCAAGUCCCUUGGAAAAGGGCAGCUGAGAGGGUGAGACUCCCGUCCGCCUGGCAGUAUGAGUUGCUAGUCAAGGAGUCGAGUUGUUUGGGAUUGCAGCUCAAAGCGGGUGGUAAAUUCCAUCUAAGGCUAAAUAUUGGUGGGAGACCGAUAGCGUACAAGUACCGUGAGGGAAAGAUGCAAAGAACUUUGAAAAGAGAGUUAAAGAGUACCUGAAAUUGCUGAAAGGGAAGCGAAGGAAACCAGUGCCAUGCCUGGUCAUAUUUCCCUGGCCGCUUGCGGCUUGGGCGCUGUGUCCGGCUUGCGUUGUGUUUGGUUGUAACUUGCGGAAGAGCGUUGGGGGAGUUGACCCUGAU
rnacentral:rRNA from 1 species